UUAUUUGAAACAUUGAACCAAACUAUAAUUACAUUAAUUAUAUAUAUUUUUUGGUCGAAAUUAUAUAUAAAUAUUUAACUUAAUUAUUAUAUUAAAUGAAAACAGUUUUUAAUGGAUUAAUUUUGGCCUUUGAUUGAUUUCAAUCCAAUGGCCACAAAUAUGUUUGGUUUAUCUUUUUCCUUUUUUCUCAUUGGUCAAUAUCUUAAACACAAGGAUAGCAAUCUUGACCACUGAGUAUUUUUGAUCCUAUGGCUAGAAAUCACACAUCUAAUAUCUCAGUCUCUUUCUUCCUUCCUUGUCUCACGUUAUCUCUCUUUUUUUUUGUUACAGAUCUAAAUCUGAUCUCAUCUAAAUCUUUUUUAAUUCUUUGGAUCUCUAUCUUCCUCAACCACCACCACCACCACCACACGAUGACCACCACACGACCACCCGUUUGUUUUCGCCGUCCCAGCAUCACAACCACCACCACACGACCGUUCGUUCGCCAUCCCAGCAUCACCACCACCGCACAACCACGGGAUGGAGGAAGCAAGGCAAGGCAGGUAUGGCGGAUGGAGGAGGAAGAUGACGGCUUCAGAUUCAGGAAGAGGAAGCUGACGGCGAGUUGGUGAGGAGGCGACGAGAUUAGGUCUAGAUGGAUGUGACGUUUGCCUCCUCUCUGCAAUUUGCCUCUCAAAUCCCAGGAUGAAGAAGAAGAAUAAUGGCUGAUGAAGGUCAUGGAAAAACACGAAGACGAAGGUGGUGGUGCGGCCGGUAGAUGAAGAAGACAACGAAGUGGUGGUGUGUUUGGUUAGUAAUUAGGUUAAAGCCUGGUUUAGUUUUUGGUUUAUUUAGUUUGUUGGUUUAUUAUUUAAUUAGAUUUUUUUUUUGUAUUUUUGUAAACCAAUUUAAUUAUAGAUAAAUUUAAGUAAUAAAGAAAAUUUGAUUC